UAUUAUGUCAAUUACGCUUCUAAAAAGUUGUUUUUAAAAAUAACUAGACUCUCAGAAGCUAAGCAGGGUUGGGCCUGGUUAGUACUUGGAUGGGAGACCACCUAGGAAGACCGGGUGCUGUGGAUG
rnacentral:rRNA from 1 species